rnacentral:lncRNA from 1 species
GAUGAUGUAAUAGAAAUAUAAAAUACAAGAUGUGGAUGGAUAUGAAUGAAAAAAGAUGAGGACAAGGUGAAUGAAAUAGAGUGUGAAGAAUAAUGGGUCGGAAAGAAAUCAAACAAGCACUGAUUUGCUCAAAUCAAGACAUGGAGAAUGAUCAAAUCACCAAUAGAUGAAAUGAUAAAAGAGAAAAUAAUCCAGAGUCCUUAGGAAAAGGUCAUUCGUCUCUCUUACGCAAAAGUGCACAAGACAAACCCCAAGAGGUAAGAGAUUAGAGAGCUCACAUACGAACUCUCAUCAAUAAAUGAACUCAAUAAAACAAUCCUCAAUGACUACCACAUGCUCACUAGAGUAAGAAAAUACAUACAUAUAUACACCCCAACAUUUUUUAUUUUUUAUUUUUACACUUAAUCUCAAUAUCAAUACAUGGGCUCCAAUGAGAAUACAACAUGGUAACUUUUUUUUUGUUUUUUAUUUCUUUUUUUGUGCAUAAUUUGAAUAUCAAUACACGGGCUCCAAUGAGAAUACAUAAUGACGUGGAUAAAUUUUUUCUCUUUUUUUUUUUUUUUUUUUUUUUUUUUUUUUGUGCGCAUAAUCUUAAUAUCAAUACAUGGGCUCCAAUGAGAAUACAUAAUGACAUGAAUAACUCUCAAACAAUGUUGUAAACUCUUACUGACAAGAUAACCUUCUCAACUAAGGAUCUCUAGACCACUGUCCAUAGGAUGGGAUGUAAGUGGUGAUAUGACCAUACUCCAUGCGAUGAAAUGUGAAAGAUCCGUACUCGAGGAAUGAAAGGAAACGAAGUAAAUCAAAUGAUACGGAAGUCAAUAAGAUGGAACAAAGGAUACAAAUAGUGGGAAUAAUGAAACAUGGAUAUCAUGGGGAUAACAAAAUAGUGAAAAAAAUAUGUCAGUAAGUCCAUGGCUCCUGAAACUCCCGAACAAAGCAUAUGUACAUCAGAGGGCCCCUAUCCCGGUGUAAAGGUGAGCAAGGCUAUAAGAAAGAAAAAGGCCAAGAUGCUCAUGCGAGGCUCAAAAGGCUAGCAACGGUCUAAAAGUCAAUAAAGGUGAUAAGGUAUAAGCUGACCGAAAUAAUGGCCACCCAUCCUGCGACCACGAUUCCAAACAUUGUGCUCUCAAACUAUCACAUGAUCAACACUAAAGAUCAAUGUCCAUCCAAUGUAACUAUGUCAAUCUCACUCUGAAUGAGCCGUAAUAGUCUAAAAAAUAACCCUCUCAACAGUAGAAUAGUCAAUUACGUCAUCCAGUAAACAUGAGUCACUCAUCAUCCCCUCAUAAUGUCGACCCCUAUAACCAUGCCAAUCCACUGGAGUCAUGUGUAAAAGCUCAAUCUGACUACUCAGCAAUGAUCUCAAAGAUGGUCCUCUUAAUGACAGAAUAGACAAUGAUCUCAUCAACCACAGCCUCUUAUCACAAUCCAACGGUCAUCAUAGAAGAUCAACCUCUAUAGUCAUGCCAACCUCCUGAAAUCAUGCAUAAGGGUCUAAUCUGGAUGCUCCAUAAUGAUCUCAAAGAUGAUCCUCUCACCCAAAUCUAGUCUCCUCAAACUCUACCUGGUCG